rnacentral:rRNA from 1 species
UAGUCCGCACGAGCGCACCCUUAUCCUUGUUUGCCAGCACUUCGGGUGGGAACUCCAGGGAAACUGCCGGUGAUAAACCGGAGGAAGGUGGGGACGACGUCAAGUCAUCAUGGCCCUUACGAGUAGGGCUACACACGUGCUACAAUGGCGUAUACAGAGGGCUGCCAACUCGCGAGAGUGAGCGAAUCCCAGAAAGUACGUCGUAGUCCGGAUUGGAGUCUGCAACUCGACUCCAUGAAGUCGGAAUCGCUAGUAAUCGUGGAUCAGAAUGCCACGGUGAAUACGUUCCCGGGCCUU